rnacentral:rRNA from 1 species
GCCAAUCGAACUCGGAGAUAGCUGGUUCUCCUCGAAAUAGCUUUAGGGCUAGCGUUGUGUUAGUAAUCAUCAGGGGUAGAGCUCUGAAAAGGUUCGGGGCCGGCAACGGUACCCACCCUUAUCAAACUACGAAUACUGGUGGUGUAACCACAGCAGUCAGAACGGCGGGGCUAAGCUCGUCGCUCAAAAGGGAAACAGCCCAGAUCAUCGUCUAAGGUCCCCAAUUAACACUAAGUGGGAAACAAAGUGAAGUUUCUUAAACAGCUAGGAUGUUGGCUUAGAAGCAGCCAUUCAUUUAAAGAGUGCGUAACAGCUCACUAGUCAAGAGAUUUUGCGUGGAAAAUGUAACGGGGCUAAAGUGUUAAACCGAAGACAUGGACUUCUGCUUAUGCAGGAGUGGUAGAGGAGCGUUGAUAUCGCAGUGAAGUCAGAUUGUAAAGUCUGGUGGAGCGUUAUCAAGUGAGAAUGCUGGAAUCAGUAACCUUAAGACAGGUGAGAAUCCUGUCGGUCGUAAGAGCAAGGUUUCCAGGGCCACAGUAAUUGUCCCUGGGUUAGUCGGUCCUAAGCCGAGGCGUAUCAGCGUAGGCGAUGGACAACAGGUUAAUAUUCCUGUACAGGUAGUAGUUGUUAACAGUUCACGGUGAGUGACUAGAGCGGAUUAAUGGUUUAUCCGUCCAAGUCUCUAGGGAACUAGAGAUGAGUGAAAGGUAAUCUUCGGAUUAUUAAUUCCGGGUGAAGCACUGGCUAGAAAAGCUGGUUCACUUAUGCUACUGCCUACCGUACCGCAAACCAACACCGGUGCUCGGGUCGAGUAGACCAAGACCUACGUGAGAACCUUCGCUAAGGAACUCGGCAAAAAAGCGUCCGUAACUUCGGAAUAAGGACUGCCCUCUCAUUAAGAUGAGGAUUUGCUAGAAACUUGGUGGAAACAUAAGGUUAAUAGUAUUUACCUAAUAAUUUAACCAAAUUUUUCGUCAAGACAGAACACAUCAGGAAAUAUCCUGUGAUAUCUUUUCUAGUAACUCAAUCGUCAUUUUGAUGAGAGGGUCGCAGCUAAAGAGCCCACGGAACUGUUUAACAAAAACAUAGGUCUCUGCUAACGCGAAAGCGGAUGUAUAGGGGCUGACUCCUGCCCGGUGUCGGAAGGUUAAGGGGAGAGCUUUACGGUUCGAACUGAAGCCCCGAUGAACGGCGGCGAUAACUAUGAUCGUCCUAAGGUAGCGAAAUUCCUUGUCUGGUAAGUUCAGACCCGCACGAAUGGAGUAAUCAUGUGGGCACUGUCUCGGCGAAGGCCACGGUGAACGUGCAUUGGCGGUAAAGAUGCCGUCUGAUCAUGCCAGGACGAGAAGACCCCAUGGAGCUUUACUACAACUUUGCAUUGAUUAUUGGGACAUUUUGUGUAGAAUAGGUGGAAGACUUUGAAGCAGAUACGCUAGUAUUUGUGGAGUCGAAAUGUGAAAUACCACCCUGAAUGUUUUAGUAAUCUCACUUUUGACCUGAUCGGCCAAAAGGACCGUGCAUGGCGGGUAGUUUAACUGGGGCGGUUGCCUCCUAAAGAGUAGCGGAGGCGUUCAAAGGU